GCAGAAGUGCCGAGGGACUUUUCCAGUCACGGCGUCUGCACAUUGCACUCCACUGGCCUUUCCACCAAGCCGUGGGGUUCAUGGUGCAGAUUUCGAGCUUGGGUCUUUGGGCAUUUGGAUGU
rnacentral:pre_miRNA from 1 species